AGAGUUUGAUCAUGGCUCAGGACGAACGCUGGCGGCGCGCCUAACACAUGCAAGUCGAACGGUGAACGGGGCUUCGGCCCCUGGGAUCAGUGGCGAACGGGUGCGUAACACGUGGGCAACCUGCCCCAGACCCUGGGAUAACCCCGGGAAACCGGAGCUAAUACCGGAUACUCCGGCCGAACCGCAUGGCUCGGCCGGGAAAGGUCCGCCGGUCUGGGAUGGGCCCGCGGCCUAUCAGCUCGUUGGUGGGGUCACGGCCCACCAAGGCGACGACGGGUAGCUGGUCUGAGAGGACGACCAGCCACACUGGGACUGAGAUACGGCCCAGACUCCUACGGGAGGCAGCAGUGGGGAAUCUUGCGCAAUGGGCGAAAGCCUGACGCAGCGACGCCGCGUGAGGGACGAAGGCCCUCGGGUUGUAAACCUCUUUCGGCAGGGACGAAGCGAUCGUGACGGUACCUGCAGAAGAAGCCCCGGCUAACUACGUGCCAGCAGCCGCGGUAAGACGUAGGAGGCGAGCGUUGUCCGGAUUCAUUGGGCGUAAAGCGCGCGUAGGCGGCCGCGUAAGUCGGUUGUGAAAUGCCGGGGCUCAACCCCGGCACUGCGUCCGAAACUGCACGGCUAGAGGUAGGUAGGGGAGAUCGGAAUUCCUGGUGUAGCGGUGAAAUGCGCAGAUAUCAGGAGGAACACCGGUGGCGAAGGCGGAUCUCUGGGCCUUACCUGACGCUCAGGCGCGAAAGCUAGGGGAGCGAACAGGAUUAGAUACCCUGGUAGUCCUAGCCGUAAACGUUGGGUGCUAGGUGUGGGCGGACAUCGACCCCGUCCGUGCCGAAGCUAACGCAUUAAGCACCCCGCCUGGGGAGUACGGCCGCAAGGCUAAAACUCAAAUGAAUUGACGG
rnacentral:rRNA from 1 species